rnacentral:rRNA from 1 species
GAUGAACGCUGGUGGCGUGCCUAAUACAUGCAAGUCGAGCGAACGGACGAGAAGCUUGCUUCUCUGAUGUUAGCGGCGGACGGGUGAGUAACACGUGGAUAACCUACCUAUAAGACUGGGAUAACUUCGGGAAACCGUAGCUAAUACCGGAUAAUAUUUUGAACCGCAUGGUUCAAAAGUGAAAGACGGUCUUGCUGUCACUUAUAGAUGGAUCCGCGCUGCAUUAGCUAGUUGGUAAGGUAACGGCUUACCAAGGCAACGAUGCAUAGCCGACCUGAGAGGGUGAUCGGCCACACUGGAACUGAGACACGGUCCAGACUCCUACGGGAGGCAGCAGUAGGGAAUCUUCCGCAAUGGGCGAAAGCCUGACGGAGCAACGCCGCGUGAGUGAUGAAGGUCUUCGGAUCGUAAAACUCUGUUAUUAGGGAAGAACAUAUGUGUAAGUAACUGUGCACAUCUUGACGGUACCUAAUCAGAAAGCCACGGCUAACUACGUG